rnacentral:lncRNA from 1 species
CCGACCAAGAUUGUCGUCAGACUUGGUGUGUUAGCCUGCUCGCCAGUGGUCGUCUCUGCGUGGGUGAUGGAUUGGCUCCGGGGGUGCGGGGGAGUUAUCUGCGCCCGCGGUGUGCGUUCCCUGCAAGCUGCGGGUCUCGGUAGCUACAGAUUGGUGGCAAUUCCUCGCCAGAGUCGGGCUUCGCCUCAGAUCCGCCUUGCCUCGUCGUACGACCGCCUCAUAGUCUAAAAUCUCGGUGAGAUUUCCCCUACGAUUAUCGUCAUUGUCUAGGUUGUGCGUAGCACCAUUUUAAUCGGGGAUCUGUGCUCAGUGGCGCGCGCCGGCGAUGCCCCGCCGUGGUGUGGUUUGCGCCGUCGGUGGGUCAGCCGAGGGGGAGAAGAAACUGGGCUGGCCGUCGGAUCGGUGAUGGUCGGCUGAGAAUAGAAGCAGGAUACCUCUUCGCGGGAUUCGAUCCUCACCGUUGGAUCAGGAUCUGGUGGCUCGGGUUGGGUUAAACUUUAUAAAAAUCUGGAGCGUUCAGGGGAGGUCCUGCGGUGCGCGCUGGAUGCGGGUUUCCUUGGGCUAGGAACUAAUCUGGGCCCUCGGUUUUAGAUCAGACGGCUGGAAAUUAAAGAUACCUCUUCGGCGUGGUCGGUUUACAAAAGAAACCCUAGCUUUAUUCGAAUUGAUGCCCGCCAUGCUUUUCUGUGAAACUAAUCGCAAGCAGGUCCCUGGUUUUUACAAAAUCACCCCUGAAGUUUAUUUUAUGCAUAAAAAGGUAUAUAAAAUGGAUAAAAACUUAGAUAAUUCAUAUCUUGAUCAUUUGAACUCCAAAUUAAUCCAUUCCAGUGGUAUUAAUUUUGUUUUAAUAUUUUCUAUCAACUAGCAACACUAUUUAGCCAUGAAACUUAAGUAAAACUGUCCAUUUGAAUUAAUCUAUUCUAGAUGCUUAUUAACUUCAGAAAAUCAUAACUUAAAAUCUAUAACUCCAAAAUUAAUGAUUCAUGUUCCUAGAAUAUUAUUUUUAUGUGUAGAUUAUUAUUAUGUAUUUUGUUUACAUGUUUGGUGUGAUGUUAAUUUUGCAUAUACACUGUUUGUAUGUAUUGCUACGUUUAGCAGUGAGGAUACGUAUCAUCUGAAGAGCAAGUUGGUACCUGGAAUCUCAAGUCCCAGGCAAGUUGUGCCUUUGAUCACUUCUUUUUACCGAGUCAUGUUCUAAUUAAUCAUAAUGAUAUGCAUAGGUUAAUUUUGAUGGUGAGAGCACCUAGAGGGGGGGGUGAAUAGGUGAUCCUGUAAACUUCAAAACUUAAGCCAGGGGGGGUGAAUAGGUGAUCCUGUAAACUUCAAAACUUAAGCCACAAAACUUUGAUUAAGUGUUAGCACAGUUAAUGCCAAGUGGCUAGAGAGAAGAUCUUGCACAAUAUGGUAAUCACAAAGAGUUCAACACAGAGAAGACACAGUGAUUUAUCCCGUGGUUCGGCCAAGUACAAAACUUGCCUACUCCACGUUGUGGCGUCCCAACGGACGAGAGUUGCACUCAACUCCUCUCAAGUGAUCCAUUGAUCAACUUGAAUACCACAGUGUUAUGCUUUUCCUUUCAAUUUCCCGUUUGCGAGGAAUCUCCACAACUUGGAGUCUCUCGCCCUUACACUUGAGAUUCACAAAGAAAUACGGAGUAAGGGAGGGAAGCAACACACACAAAUCCACAGCGAAAUGCGCACACACACGGCCAAGAAUCGAGCUCAAAGACUAUCUCAAAGUUCUCACAAGAACGGAGCUCGAAUCACUUAGAAUGACAAUCGGAUGCGCAAAGACUGAGUGUGGAUGAUCAAGAAUGCUCUAAGGUUGCUUGGUUAUCUCCUCCAUGCGCCUAGGGGUCCCUUUUAUAGCCCCAAGGCAGCUAGGAGCCGUUGAGAACAAAUCUGGAAGGCCAUCUUUGCCUUCUGUCAUCGGGCGCACCGGACAGUCCGGUGCACACCGGACACUGUCCGGUGCCCGAUUUAUUUCCAUAAACAGCUCAGCCGAUCGUUGCCGACCGUUGCAGAUCUGGCGCACCGGACAGUCCGGUGCACACCGGACAGUCCGGUGCCUCCUUCCGACCGUUGGCCAGACCACGUGUCGCGCGCAGAUUCUGCGGCCGACCGUUGGCUCGGCCGACCGUUGACUCACCGGACAGUCCGGUGCACACCGGACAGUCCGGUGAAUUUUAGCCGUACGCCGUCGGCAAAUUCCCGAGAGCAGCGUCUUCAGGUCGAGGCAGCCUGGCGCACCGGACACUGUCCGGUGCACCACCGGACAGUCCGGUGCCCCAGACCAAGACAGCCUCUUGGCUGUACACAGCCAACUUUCUUCUUCUCUUCUUCUUCCUGUUUCUAAUACUUAGACAAGUAUAUUAGUACACAAAACCAAUGUACUAAGACUUAGAAACAUACCUUUGCUCUAGAUUUGCACUUUGUUCAUCCAUGGGCAUUGAUUCACAUUUAAGCACUUGUGUUGACACUCAAUCACCAAAAUACUUAGAAAUGGCCCAAGGGCACAUUUCCCUUUCAAUCUCCCCCUUUUUGGUGAUUUAUGCCAACACAACAUAAAGCAACUAGAACAAGUGCAAAAUCACUUCAAAUAGAACUCAAAUUGAUUUUGAUUCAAUUUUGGCAUAUAUGGAUCAUCCUUUGCCACCACUUGGUUUGUUUUUGCAAAUCAAACUCAAAUCUCUAUCUUUAAGUCAAACACACAUGUUGAAGCAUAAAGAGAGUCAUUCCAAAAGAGAUUGAUCAAAGAUUUCAAAAACUCCCCCUAUUUCCAUAAUUAACACUUCUCCCCACAAGAAGCCAACUUUUGACAAGAGAGACAAUAAGAGACAAAAAGAGUUUGACAAAAACUCUAUUCUACUAUUUUCAAAAUCUCUCAAGUGGUAGCUGAUCCAUUUAUCGCUUUGGCCUUUAUUUUCUCCCCCUUUGGCAUCAAGCACCAAAACGGGAUCAAUCUUGGCCUUUUAACCCCAUUGCCUCACCAAAAUCUUCAAUAAGAAUACAAAGGCAAUAAGAGUCUAAAGAUGAACUUGGAAUAAGUUACCCUCUCAUCGGAGUGCAGUGGAAGUCUUUCAUGGUCCAAGUCCACCUUUUCCCUUUCAAUCCUCCUUCGAGACUAAAUCAUCAAACUCAAGCACAUGGUUAGUCUCAAAGGGUCAAGUUGUAACACAUCUCCCCCUAAACAUGUGCAUCACUUUGCAACGGACUUGUGAGGUCCAGGGAGUGUUUGUACAACUUGAGCACCAUAAUAAGCAACAAAAUGCAAAAAGGAACAUGAUCAAAAGCAUAAAUACAUGUAUGCUACAAUUCAAUCCAGGUUCCGCGAAUCUAAGACAUUUAGCUCACUACGCAACCUGCAAAAGGUCUUCUCAUCUAGAGGCUUAGUGAAGAUAUCGGCUAGCUGGUUCUCGGUGCUAACAUGAAACACUUCGAUAUCUCCCUUUUGCUGGUGGUCUCUCAAAAAGUGAUGCUGGAUGUCUAUGUGCUUUGUGCGGCUGUGCUCAACAGGAUUCUCCGCCAUGCGGAUAGCACUCUCAUUGUCACAUAGGAGUGGGACUUUGCUCAGAUUGUAGCCAAAGUCCCGAAGGGUUUGCCUCAUCCAAAGUAGUUGUGCGCAACACUGACCUGCGGCAACGUACUCGGCCUCAGCGGUGGAUAGGGCAACAGAGGUUUGUUUCUUAGAGUUCCAUGACACCAGGGACCUUCCUAAGAAUUGGCACGUCCCCGAUGUACUCUUCCUAUCGACCUUACAUCCAGCAUAGUCGGAGUCUGAGUAUCCAACUAAGUCAAAGGUAGACCCCUUUGGAUACCAGAGCCCGAAGCAAGGCGUAGCAACCAAAUAUCUAAGAAUUCGCUUUACCGCCACUAAGUGACACUCCUUAGGAUCGGAUUGAAAUCUAGCACACAUGCAUACGCUAAGCAUAAUAUCCGGUCUACUAGCACAUAAGUAAAGCAAAGAACCUAUCAUUGACCGGUAUGCUUUUUUAUCAACGGACUUACCUCCUUUGUUGAGGUCGGUGUGUCCGUCUGUCCCCAUCGGAGUCUUUGCGGGCUUGGAGUCCUUCAUCCCAAACCGCUUUAGCAGAUCUUGCGUGUACUUCGUUUGGGAGAUGAAGGUGCCGUCCUUGAGUUGCUUCACUUGGAACCCAAGGAAGUAGUUCAACUCGCCCAUCAUCGACAUCUCGAAUUUCUGCGUCAUCACCCUGCUAAACUCUUCACAAGACUUUUGGUUAGUAGAACCAAAUAUUAUGUCAUCGACAUAAAUUUGGCACACAAACAAAUCACCAUCACAUGUCUUUGUAAAAAGAGUUGGAUCGGCUUUCCCAACCUCGAAAGCAUUAGCAAUUAAAAAGUCUCUAAGGCAUUCAUACCAUGCUCUUGGGGCUUGCUUAAGUCCAUAGAGCGCCUUAGAGAGCUUACACACGUGGUCGGGGUACCGUUCAUCCUCGAAGCCAGGGGGUUUCUCCACGUACACCUCCUCCUUGAUUGGCCCGUUGAGGAAAGCGCUCUUCACAUCCAUUUGGUACAACCUGAAAGAAUGGUGAGCGGCAUAUGCUAGCAAGAUUCGAAUUGACUCUAGCCUAGCCACAGGAGCAAAAGUCUCCUCGAAAUCCAAACCUGUGACUUGGGCAUAACCUUUUGCCACAAGUCGAGCCUUAUUUCUCGUCACCAUCCCGUGCUCGUCCUGUUUGUUGCGGAACACCCACUUGGUUCCCACAACAUUUUGCUUCGGACGAGGCACCAGCGUCCAGACUUCAUUUCUCUUGAAGUUGUUGAGCUCCUCCUGCAUGGCCAACACCCAGUCCGGAUCUAGCAAGGCCUCCUCUACCCUGAAAGGCUCAAUAGAAGAGACAAAGGAGUAAUGCUCACAAAAAUUAACUAAUCGAGAUCGAGUAGUUACUCCCUUGCUAAUGUCACCCAGAAUUUGAUCGACGGGGUGAUCCCUUUGAAUCAUUGCUCGAACUUGGGUUGGAGGUGCCGGUUGCGCAUCUUCCUCCAUUACAUGAUCAUCUUGUGCUCCCCCUUGAUCAUCCGCCUCCUGUUGAUGAACCUGUUCAUCGUCUUGAGUUGGGGUUAGCACCGUAGUUGAGGAAGAAGGUUGAUCUCGUUCAUUUUGUUCCUGUGGCCGCACUUCACCAAUCGCCAUGGUGCGCAUAGCGGCCGUUGGAACGUCUUCUUCAUCUACAUCAUCACAAUCAACAACUUGCUCUCUUGGAGAGCCAUUAGUCUCAUCAAAUACAACGUCGCUAGAGACUUCAACCAAACCCGAUGAUUUGUUGAAGACUCUAUACGCCUUUGUAUUUGAGUCAUAACCUAACAAAAACCCUUCUACUGCUUUGGGAGCAAACUUAGAAUUUCUACCCUUCUUCACUAGAAUGUAGCACUUGCUCCCAAAUACACGAAAGUACGAUACAUUGGGUUUGUUACCGGUUAGAAGCUCAUACGACGUCUUCUUGAGGAGGCGGUGAAGGUAGACCCUGUUGAUGGCGUGGCAAGCCGUGUUCACGGCUUCCGACCAAAAACGCUCGGGGGUCUUGAAUUCUCCAAGCAUAGUCCUCGCCAUGUCGAUUAGCGUCCUGUUCUUCCUCUCUACCACGCCAUUUUGUUGUGGUGUGUAGGGAGCGGAGAACUCAUGCUUGAUCCCUUCCUCCUCAAGGAACUCCUCCACUUGAAGGUUCUUGAACUCGGACCCGUUGUCGCUUCUUAUCUUCUUCACCUUGAGCUCAAACUCAUUUUGAGCUCUCCUGAGGAAGCGCUUGAGGGUCCCUUGGGUUUCAGACUUAUCCUGCAAAAAGAACACCCAAGUGAAGCGGGAAAAGUCAUCAACAAUAACUAAACCAUACUUACUCCCUCCUAUGCUCAGAUAGGCGACGGGUCCGAAGAGGUCCAUAUGCAGCAGCUCCAGGGGUCUUGAAGUGGUCAUCACAUUCUUGCUGUGAUGUGCUCCUCCCACUUGUUUACCUGCUUGACAAGCUGCACAAGGUCUAUCUUUUUCGAAUUGUACGUUAGUCAACCCUAUCACGUGUUCUCCCUUUAGAAGCUUGUGAAGGUUCUUCAUCCCCACAUGUGCUAAGCGGCGAUGCCACAGCCAGCCCAUGCUAGUCUUAGCAAUUAAGCAUGCAUCUAGACCGGCCUCUUCUUUUGCAAAAUCAACUAAGUAGAGCUUGCAGUCUAAUACACCCUUAAAGGCUAGUGAACCAUCACUUCUUCUAAAGACAGACACAUCUACAUUUGUAAAUAGACAGUUAUAUCCCAUAUGACAUAAUUGACUAACAGACAGCAAAUUAUAUCCAAGACUCUCCACUAAAAACACAUUAGAGAUAGAAUGCUCAUUGGAAAUUGCAAUUUUACCUAACCCUUUUACCUUGCCUUGAUUCCCAUCACCGAAUAUAAUUGAAUCUUGGGAAUCCUUAUUCUUGACGUAGGAGGUGAACAUUUUCUUCUCCCCCGUCAUAUGGUUUGUGCAUCCGCUGUCGAUAAUCCAGCUUGAACCCCCGGAUGCAUAAACCUGCAAGGCAAAUUUAGGUUUGGGACUUAGGUACCCAACUCUUGUUGGGUCCUACAAGGUUAGUGCAAAUAUCCUUAGGGACCCAAAUGCAAGUUUUGUCUCCCUUGCAUUUUGCCCCUAACUUCCUAGCAACUAUCUUCCUAUCCUUUCUACAAAUAGCAAAGGAAGCAUUUAAAGCACAAUAAAUUGUAGAAGGUUCAUUUACUACUUUCCUAGGAGCAUGAAUAGUAUUCUUUCUAGGCACGUGAUGAAUAGCAUUUCUCCUAGUCAUACUUCUACCAUGCAUAUAGGAAGAACUAGAAGCAGUCAUGGCAUGAGAAUCAUAAGCAUGUGAAUCAAAAGUAUCAUAACUUCUAAAAGCAUUUCUAGAAUUUUUCCUAUCAUGAUACAAAAAGGCAUGGUUCUUUUUAGCACUAGUAGCCAUAGGGGCCUUCCCUUUCUCCUUAGCGGGAAUGGGAGCCUUAUGGCUUGUUAAGUUCUUGGCUUCCCUUUUGAAACCAAGUCCAUCCUUAAUUGAGGGGUGUCUACCGAUCGUGUAGGCAUCCCUUGCAAAUUUUAGUUUAUCAAAUUCAUUCUUGCUAGUCUUAAGUUGGGCGUUAAGACUAGCCAAUUCCUCAGUUAAUUUGGAUAUUGAAACUAAAUGAUCGCUACAAGCAUCAACAUCGAAAUCUUUACACCUAGUGCAAAUCUUAACAUGUUCUACACAAGAUGUUGAUUUACUAGAUUUUUCUAGUUUAGCAUUUAAAUCAUCAUUUAUGCUCUUUAAACUAGCAAUUGAAUCAUGACAUGUAGACAACUCAUAAGAAAGCAUUUCAUUUCUCUUAAUCUCUAAUGCAAGUGAUUUUUGUGCUUCUACAAACUUGUCAUGUUCUUCAUACAACAAAUCUUCUUGCUUUUCUAAAAGCACAUUCUUAUCAUUCAAGGCAUCAAUCAAUUCAUUGAUUUUGUCUAUCUUAGAUCUAUCUAAGCCCUUGAAUAAGCAUGAAUAGUCUAUGUCAUCAUCAUCACUAGACUCAUUAUCACUAGAAGAAGCAUAAGUGGAGUCUCGAGUACUCACCUUCUUCUCCCUUGCCAUAAGGCAUGUGUGACGCUCGUUGGGGAAGAGGGAUGACUUGUUGAAGGCGGUGGCGGCGAGUCCUUCAUUGUCGGAGUUGGAGGAGCAAUCUGAAUCCCACUCCUUUCCGAUGUGUGCCUCGCCCUUGGCCUUCUUGUAAUUCUUCUUCUUUUCCCUCUUGUUCCCCUGUUCCUGGUCACUAUCGUUAUCGGGGCAGUUAGCGAUAAAAUGACCAAUCUUACCGCACUUGAAGCAUGAGCGCUUCCCCUUUGUCUUGGUCUUGCUUGGCUGCCCCUUGUGACCUUUUAGCACCGUCUUGAAGCGUUUUAUGAUGAGAGCCAUCUCUUCAUCAUUAAGUCCGGCCGCCUCAAUUUGUGCCACCUUGCUAGGUAGCGCCUCCUUGCUUCUUGUUGCCUUGAGAGCAAGGGGUUGAUGCUUGUUGAUCGGUCCAUUCAAGGCGUCGUCCACGUAUCUUGCCUCCUUGAUCAUCAUCCGCCCGCUUACGAAUUUUCCGAGUACCUCCUCGGGCGUCAUCUUCGUGUACCUGGGAUUCUCACGAAUAUUGUUCACGAGAUGAGGAUCAAGAAUGGUAAAUGACCUUAGCAUUAGGCGGACGACGUCGUGAUCCGUCCAUCGCGUGCUUCCGUAGCUCCUUAUUUUGUUAAUAAGGGUCUUGAGCCGGUUGUAUGUUUGGGUUGGCUCCUCGCCCCUUAUCAUUGCAAACCUUCCAAGCUCGCCCUCCACCAACUCCAUUUUGCUGAGCAUGGUGAUGUCGUUCCCCUCGUGAGAAAUCUUGAGGGUGUCCCAUAUCUGCUUGGCAUUGUCCAAGCCGCUCACCUUAUUGUACUCGUCCCUGCACAAAGAGGCUAGCAACACAGUAGUAGCUUGUGCAUUUUUAUGAAUUUGUUCAUUAAUAAACAUAGGGCUAUCCGAGCUAUCAAAUUUCAUUCCAUUCUCUACGAUCUCCCAUAUGCUUGGAUGGAGAGAGAAUAAAUGACUACGCAUUUUGUGACUCCAAAAUCCGUAGUCCUCUCCAUCAAAGUGUGGAGGUUUGCCGAGAGGAAUGGAAAGCAAAUGCGAAUUCGAACUAUGUGGAAUACGAGAAUAGUCAAAUGAAAAGUUCGAAUUGACCGUCUUCCUGUAGUCGUUGUCGUCGUCCUUUUGGGAAGAAGAGGAUUCGUCACUGUCGUAGUAGACGAUCUCCUUGAUGCGCCUUGUCUUCUUCUUCUUCCCAUCUUUACGUCUGUGGCACGAGCCAGAGUCGUUGGAUUUAUCAUCUUUUGGCUCGUUGACGAAGGACUCCUUUUCCUUGUCGUUGAUCACGAUUCCCUUCCCCUUAGGAUCCAUCUCUUCGGGCGGUUAGUCCCUUCCUUGAAGAGAACGGCUCCGAUACCAAUUGAGAGCACCUAGAGGGGGGGUGAAUAGGUGAUCCUGUAAACUUCAAAACUUAAGCCACAAAACUUUGAUUAAGUGUUAGCACAGUUAAUGCCAAGUGGCUAGAGAGAAGAUCUUGCACAAUAUGGUAAUCACAAAGAGUUCAACACAGAGAAGACACAGUGAUUUAUCCCGUGGUUCGGCCAAGUACAAAACUUGCCUACUCCACGUUGUGGCGUCCCAACGGACGAGAGUUGCACUCAACUCCUCUCAAGUGAUCCAAUGAUCAACUUGAAUACCACAGUGUUAUGCUUUUCCUUUCAAUUUCCCGUUUGCGAGGAAUCUCCACAACUUGGAGUCUCUCGCCCUUACACUUGAGAUUCACAAAGAAAUACGGAGUAAGGGAGGGAAGCAACACACACAAAUCCACAGCGAAAUGCGCACACACACGGCCAAGAAUCGAGCUCAAAGACUAUCUCAAAGUUCUCACAAGAACGGAGCUCGAAUCACUUAGAAUGACAAUCGGAUGCGCAAAGACUGAGUGUGGAUGAUCAAGAAUGCUCUAAGGUUGCUUGGUUAUCUCCUCCAUGCGCCUAGGGGUCCCUUUUAUAGCCCCAAGGCAGCUAGGAGCCGUUGAGAACAAAUCUGGAAGGCCAUCUUUGCCUUCUGUCGUCGGGCGCACCGGACAGUCCGGUGCACACCGGACACUGUCCGGUGCCCGAUUUAUUUCCAUAAACAGCUCAGCCGAUCGUUGCCGACCGUUGCAGAUCUGGCGCACCGGACAGUCCGGUGCACACCGGACAGUCCGGUGCCUCCUUCCGACCGUUGGCCAGACCACGUGUCGCGCGCAGAUUCUGCGGCCGACCGUUGGCUCGGCCGACCGUUGACUCACCGGACAGUCCGGUGCACACCGGACAGUCCGGUGAAUUUUAGUCGUACGCCGUCGGCAAAUUCCCGAGAGCAGCGUCUUCAGGUCGAGGCAGCCUGGCGCACCGGACACUGUCCGGUGCACCACCGGACAGUCCGGUGCCCCAGACCAAGACAGCCUCUUGGCUGUACACAGCCAACUUUCUUCUUCUCUUCUUCUUCCUGUUUCUAAUACUUAGACAAGUAUAUUAGUACACAAAACCAAUGUACUAAGACUUAGAAACAUACCUUUGCUCUAGAUUUGCACUUUGUUCAUCCAUGGGCAUUGAUUCACAUUUAAGCACUUGUGUUGACACUCAAUCACCAAAAUACUUAGAAAUGGCCCAAGGGCACAUUUCCCUUUCAGAUGGGACCCAAUAGGUUACCCUAGUUUGUCUAUCUUUAUACCUUGUUUUACCACUCAAUAUUUUUGGGUAGUACUUGCUAGUGCUAUAUGUGGUUUUGGGUAUGGAGAUACAUUAUUCAUGAUUACACUUUUGUUGUCAGUUGUUAUUUACUGUUCAUGAUAAGAUCAUUAUGUUAAUUGGAACAUGGAGCGACCACCCGGGAAAACAGUGCUACCACAAGGGUUUAAUGGGACGCCCUUGGCUAAUUAAUUAGGAAAGCUAGUGCAGGACUACCUUACCCGAAAGGGGCAAGGGCAGUAGGGGAGUGGUCAGUGUUGGGAGGUCCUUGGUUGAUUUUGCUGCGAUGGCGGUCAGGCGAGGGAUCCCUGCAUUGGAGCUUCCUAUAACUGUAGCGGGUUUUCUGAAGCUAGUGGAACUUUGUAAAGGCCUCGUAGUGUUACCCUGCCUCGCUUCCUUGGUAGAGGUGUAUGGGGCCCGUACAACCCCGUGGCAAAUGGGUAACAUGACUUGUGGGUAAAGAUGCGCAACCUCUGCAGAGUGUAAAACUGGUAUACUAGCCGUGCUCACGGUCAUGCGCAGCUCGGACCCUCACAUGAUUUAUCUAUGGAACUAAAUUCAAUUUGUCAUAUGCAUUGCAUCGCAGGUGUUGUUAUUACUUUUGUUCUAUUACUUAAUUGGGUUGGUAUUUACUUAUACUUAGUAAUUGCUAAUAAAAUUUUGACCAACUUUAAAAGCAAUGCUCAGCUCUAACCAUCCUCUUUGGUAAGCCUUACACUUCACGUGAGCUCCCACCUUUGGCGAGUUCAUGCACAUUAUUCCCUACAACUUGUUGAGCGAUGAACGUAUGUGAGCUCACUCUUGCUGUCUCACACCCCCCCCACAGGUCAAGAACAGGUACCGCAGGAUGAGGCGCAUGGAGGAUGUCGUGACGAGUUCGUGAGAGAUCUAGGUCGUCGUCUCCCAGUCAACUUUGGGUUGCUGGACCAUCGUCUCCUUAUUUUGUAUUUAUUUAUUUAUUUUGUAUAGAACUCCUGUUAUGUAGUAAAGAUGUAACAUUCGAUCUUGUGCCAUGAUUCAUCAUAUGUGUGAGACUUGGUCCUAGCACACCUGGUGAUUAUGUUCACGCCCGGGUCUUGGUGCCUCGAAACCCGGGUGUGACAGAAGUGGUAUCAGAGGAAUGUUGACUGUAGGACGAAACCUAGAUAGAACUGGACAACCAUUACCUACUUACCUUACUCUGAUUCUUCUAUACUUUUCUUGAUCCUGUCUCACCUUCUACUGUUCUACUCUGAUUAACCUUACCUUUGCUACUCUGAUUCUUUUCUAAACUUAUCUUAAUCUUUCUCGUCUAUUUCCGCUUUACACUGAUUAUUCUUACCUUUUCUUUCUAAAAGACAAAUAUGGAUUUCACACUUUGAAAUCCUGUACCUAAAGUGACCUUUAGGAAUAGGAGACCUA